rnacentral:rRNA from 1 species
GCGUGGGUGAUGAAGGCCUUCGGGUUGUAAAGCCCUUUCGGCGGGGAAGAUGAUGACGGUACCCGCAGAAGAAGCCCCGGCUAACUUCGUGCCAGCAGCCGCGGUAAUACGAAGGGGGCUAGCGUUGUUCGGAAUUACUGGGCGUAAAGGGCGCGUAGGCUGUGCUGUAAGUCAGGCGUGAAAGGCCCGGGCUCAACCUGGGAACUGCGUUUGAUACUGCGGCGCUGGAAUGCAGGAGAGGAUGGCGGAAUUCCCAGUGUAGAGGUGAAAUUCGU